AGAGUUUGAUUAUGGCUCAGGAUGAACGCUAGCGAUAGGCCUAACACAUGCAAGUCGAGGGGCAGCACAUGAAGUAGCAAUACGGAUGGUGGCGACCGGCGCACGGGUGAGUAACGCGUAUGCAACCUGCCUACAACAGGGGAAUAACCCGUUGAAAGACGGACUAAUACCCCAUAACACAGGGAUCCCGCAUGGGAAUAUUUGUUAAAGAUUUAUCGGUUGUAGAUGGGCAUGCGUUCCAUUAGCUGGUUGGUGAGGUAACGGCUCACCAAGGCAACGAUGGAUAGGGGAACUGAGAGGUUUAUCCCCCACACUGGUACUGAGACACGGACCAGACUCCUACGGGAGGCAGCAGUGAGGAAUAUUGGUCAAUGGACGCAAGUCUGAACCAGCCACGUCGCGUGAAGGAAGACGGCCCCACGGGUUGUAAACUUCUUUUGUAAGGGAAUAAAGUGCAGUACGUGUACUGUUUUGCAUGUACCUUACGAAUAAGGAUCGGCUAACUCCGUGCCAGCAGCCGCGGUAAUACGGAGGAUCCGAGCGUUAUCCGGAUUUAUUGGGUUUAAAGGGUGCGCAGGCGGGAGAUUAAGUCGGCGGUGAAAUUUUGCAGCUCAACUGUAAAAGUGCCUUCGAAACUGGUUUCCUUGAGUGUGGAUGAAGUAGGCGGAAUUUGUGGUGUAGCGGUGAAAUGCAUAGAUAUCACGAGGAACUCCGAUUGCGCAGGCAGCUUACUAAACCAUAACUGACGCCCAGGCACGAAGGCGUGGGGAUCAAACAGGAUUAGAUACCCUGGUAGUC
rnacentral:rRNA from 1 species